rnacentral:rRNA from 1 species
GACGAACGCUGGCGGCGUGCUUAACACAUGCAAGUCGAACGGUAAGGCCCUUCGGGGUACACGAGUGGCGAACGGGUGAGUAACACGUGGGUGAUCUGCCCUGCACUUCGGGAUAAGCCUGGGAAACUGGGUCUAAUACCGGAUAGGACCACUGCCCGCAUGGGUGGCGGUGGAAAGCCUUUGCGGUGUGGGAUGGGCCCGCGGCCUAUCAGCUUGUUGGUGGGGUGAUGGCCUACCAAGGCGACGACGGGUAGCCGGCCUGAGAGGGUGACCGGCCACACUGGGACUGAGAUACGGCCCAGACUCCUACGGGAGGCAGCAGUGGGGAAUAUUGCACAAUGGGCGCAAGCCUGAUGCAGCGACGCCGCGUGAGGGAUGACGGCCUUCGGGUUGUAAACCUCUUUCAGCACCGACGAAGCGCAAGUGACGGUAGGUGCAGAAGAAGGACCGGCCAACUACGUGCCAGCCGCCGCCGUAA